rnacentral:rRNA from 1 species
UACGUAGGGCGCAAGCGUUUGUCCGGAAUUAUUGGGCGUAAAGAGCUCGUAGGCGGUCUGUUGCGUCGGCUGUGAAAACCCGGGGCUCAACUCCGGGCCUGCAGCCGAUACGGGCAGACUAGAGUUCGGCAGGGGAGACUGGAAUUCCUGGUGUAGCGGUGAAAUGCGCAGAUAUCAGGAGGAACACCGGUGGCGAAGGCGGGUCUCUGGGCCGAUACUGACGCUGAGGAGCGAAAGCGUGGGGAGCGAACAGG